GGUGCACUCUUCUAGAUUAUGGUGGUUCCAUAGAACUUUCACCAUCGGAAUCUCUUUGUUCCUUAGCUGUCUGAUCUGCGUGUCCAGAAUCCGCACUGGCUGCUCUAUAUAGGUGAGAUCCGUAUGAAUCUCCACCUCAGGCUCACUCAGAACCUGAUUCGGAUCUGACACAAACUGUCGUAGCAUAGAAACAUGAAAUACCGGGUGAAU
rnacentral:lncRNA from 1 species